CGUGGACGAGUCUAUUACAUGUUUGACACGUGUGUUGAAACUUAUUUUCGUACGACUUUUUUACAUUUUUUUUCUUUAUCAGUUUUUGUGCUUGAAUAUCAUAAUUCACCAAUUUUUCUGGAAUUGAUUAAUAGGUAAGCGAAUCUGUUUUUCUUGUUUGUGAAAUGACGAUUUAAUUUCGUCUUUGUCCGUGCACCCCCUUUUUUUACGGGAAAUUAUUAGAAUGUCAUGCGAUGUUUAUGACAGCUGAGCAAUAAAAUUUCAUCAAACUUAGAUCUAAGAAAUGAUGACAAAAUAGCAUAACAAACAUAUUGUUAGAAAGAUAUUUACUUUGCAUAUUUUUCUGUCUUGAAAGAUAUUUUUUUUCUUUUUUUUCCGACAGACCGACCCGACUUUUUCAUGGGGAAAAUCCGUAAACCAACAAAUUAAAAAACCCUGGCCUAAAAUGUUAUAUGAAUUACUUUCAUUACUAGGACUGCGGUACUUAAUAUUAAGAAGGUGGCAA
rnacentral:lncRNA from 1 species